GAUGAAGAACGCAGCGAAAUGCGAUAAGUAAUGUGAAUUGCAGAAUUCAGUGAAUCAUCGAAUCUUUGAACGCACAUUGCGCCCGCCAGUAUUCUGGCGGGCAUGCCUGUUCGAGCGUCAUUUCAACCAUCAAGCCCCAGGCUUGUGUUGGGGACCUGCGGCUGCCGCAGGCCCUGAAAAUCAGUGGCGGGCUCGCUAGUCACUCCGAGCGUAGUAAUACAUCUCGCUCUGGGCGUGCUGCGGGUUCCGGCCGUUAAACCACCUUCAUAACCCAAGGUUGACCUCGGAUCAGGUAGGAAGACCCGCUGAACUUAAGCAUAUCAAUAAGCGGAGGA
rnacentral:misc_RNA from 1 species